UGGGGAAUUUUGGACAAUGGGCGCAAGCCUGAUCCAGCUAUUCCGCGUGUGGGAUGAAGGCCCUCGGGUUGUAAACCACUUUUGUAGAGAACGAAAAGACACCUUCGAAUAAAGGGUGUUGCUGACGGUACUCUAAGAAUAAGCACCGGCUAACUACGUGCCAGCAGCCGCGGUAAUACGUAGGGUGCGAGCGUUAAUCGGAAUUACUGGGCGUAAAGGGUGCGCAGGCGGUUGAGUAAGACAGAUGUGAAAUCCCCGAGCUUAACUCGGGAAUGGCAUAUGUGACUGCUCGGCUAGAGUGUGUCAGAGGGAGGUGGAAUUCCACGUGUAGCAGUGAAAUGCGUAGAUAUGUGGAAGAACACCGAUGGCGAAGGCAGCCUCCUGGGACAUAACUGACGCUCAGGCACGAAAGCGUGGGGAGCAAACAGG
rnacentral:rRNA from 1 species